rnacentral:rRNA from 1 species
UACGUAGGUCCCGAGCGUUGUCCGGAUUUAUUGGGCGUAAAGCGAGCGCAGGUGGUUUAUUAAGUCUGGUGUAAAAGGCAGUGGCUCAACCAUUGUAUGCAUUGGAAACUGGUAGACUUGAGUGCAGGAGAGGAGAGUGGAAUUCCAUGUGUAGCGGUGAAAUGCAUAGAUAUCACGCAGAACCCCGAUUGCGAAGGCAGCCUUCCGGCGCCCUACUGACGCUGAGGCACGAAAGUGCGGGGAUCGAACAGG